UCCUCGGUAGCUCAGUGGUAGAGCGGUCGGCUGUUAACCGAUUGGUCGCUGGUUCGAAUCCGGCCCGGGGAG
rnacentral:tRNA from 3 species